UGUCCCGUGGCCCAGUUGGUUAAGGCGUGCGACUGUUACCUAAUGGGUGUUCCCACGGUCACGUGAUCGCAAGAUCCAGAGUUCAAGUCUCUGCGGGACAG